rnacentral:rRNA from 1 species
CUGCAACUCGCCUGCAUGAAGUCGGAAUUGCUAGUAAUCGUAGGUCAGCAUACUGCGGUGAAUACGUUCCCGGGCCUUGUACACACCGCCCGUCAAACCAUGAGAGUUGGCAACACCCGAAGUCGGUAGUCUAACCGCAAGGAGGACGCCGCCGAAGGUGGGGUUGAUGAUUAGGGUUAAGUCGUAACAAGGUAGC